rnacentral:lncRNA from 1 species
AGACUCCUUUUAGCCUGAUGUUUGGUUCAGAAGCUAUCAUUCGUGCUAAAAUUGGCAUCAAUACCCAUUGGUUCUCCAUUAUGAGGACCAAGCUAAUGAUGUCAUGCUUAGGGAGAACUUGGACUUUUUGGAGGAAACCAAGGAUCAAGUCGCACUUGACCUUGACAGCCCGUGCCUAGCAAGUGGAAAAUGAUUACAACACCAAAGUUCGUAGUAGGAAAUAUCAAG